AUUGAACGCUGGCGGAAUGCUUUACACAUGCAAGUCGAACGGCAGCACGGGGGCAACCCUGGUGGCGAGUGGCGAACGGGUGAGUAAUACAUCGGAACGUGCCCAGUCGUGGGGGAUAACGUAGCGAAAGCUACGCUAAUACCGCAUACGAUCUACGGAUGAAAGCGGGGGAUCGCAAGACCUCGCGCGAUUGGAGCGGCCGAUGGCAGAUUAGGUAGUUGGUGGGGUAAAGGCUCACCAAGCCGACGAUCUGUAGCUGGUCUGAGAGGACGACCAGCCACACUGGGACUGAGACACGGCCCAGACUCCUACGGGAGGCAGCAGUGGGGAAUUUUGGACAAUGGGCGCAAGCCUGAUCCAGCAAUGCCGCGUGCAGGAAGAAGGCCUCGG
rnacentral:rRNA from 1 species